AACGAACGCUGGCGGCAUGCCUAACACAUGCAAGUCGAACGAGACCUUCGGGUCUAGUGGCGCACGGGUGCGUAACGCGUGGGAACCUGCCCUUAGGUUCGGAAUAACUCCCCGAAAGGGGUGCUAAUACCGGAUAAUGUCUUCGGACCAAAGAUUUAUCGCCUUUGGAUGGGCCCGCGUUGGAUUAGCUAGUUGGUAGGGUAAAAGCCUACCAAGGCGACGAUCCAUAGCUGGUCUGAGAGGAUGAUCAGCCACACUGGGACUGAGACACGGCCCAGACUGGUACGGGAGGCAGCAGUGGGGAAUAUUGGACAAUGGGCGAAAGCCUGAUCCAGCAAUGCCGCGUGAGUGAUGAAGGCCUUAGGGUUGUAAAGCUCUUUUACACGGGAUGAUAAUGACAGUAACGGGAAAAUAAGCACCGGCUAACUCCGUG
rnacentral:rRNA from 1 species